CAACAUUAUGGAGGGCAGUCUGUUUUAGUCAACAGUCUACCGAAGGAAAUUCAGGUCUGACACUUGAGAUAUCUGACCUGAAGAAUAAGGAAAUCAUCAGCAUAAGGACAGUAAUUGAAGUCACAAAAAUACUUAUACUCUACAUUAGCCCUUUCUAGUUUCUGCCCUAUCUUUCUUGUUCCAUUCAAUGUAUUACUUUUUUGAAAUUUGUCAUUUAUGCUCACUCUCAGUACAGGAACAGCAGGUUCGGCAUGAGUGUGAAGUUACAAAGCCUGAGAAAGAGAAGGGUAAGAAUUGGAUUGCAUCUUCUGUGUGUGAGACGUGGUGGACUGUGCCUUUCCCUCUGAGGUUGUGCUUAGCACCCUUGUAUUUUGUUUUUUGUGUAAUCCCACUACUUUGGGAAGCCAGAGUGGGAGGAUUGCUUGAAGCCAGAUGUUUGAGACCAGCCUGGGCAACAUAGUGAAACCCUGUCCUCUACAAAAAAUAAAUAAAUAGCUAGGCGUGGUGGCAUGCAGCUGUAGUUCUAGCCACUUGGGAGGCUGAGGCAAGAGGAUUGCUUGAGCCCAGGAGUUCAAGACUGCAGUGAGCUAUGUGAUUGCACCACUGUACUCCAGCGUUGGCAACAGAGCAAGACCAUGUCUCAAAAAAAGUGAAUGUAAUGUCAGUAGACUCUUGAAAAUGUCCCUUACCCUCUGGAUCUGUUAAAAAUGUUAUUUUAUAUUCAAAGUUCAGGUUGUUUUUUGGUUUCAUCCUCUCUUGCUUUUUUAAAGUUGUAUAUGUGAUUAUGUCAUUACUGGAAGAGUCUUAUUCCUUUCCCUUAAUCUCUCACUCUUGCCCCCUGCCCCUGUGUAGGACUGAAUACUUCAUUCUGUUGUAGAGGGUCUUUGUACACAGUACAUUAUUACAUUAUUUAAUUUAUUCACUCCCCACCUGUGACCUUCCUUUCUCUGAUGUCUCCUUACUAAUUCCUUCACUUUCACUUUUCCUUUCAGCUGUCAUCCACUCUUUCCUUUUUACUUAUCUGCUGAAUUAACUUGCUCACACUGAUUAACCCUCUUUUGUUUGUUAUUAGUGCUGCUUAGAGUCUUUCUUCUAUUUUCUCCAUCCAGCUUUCCUUUUACUCUCUCAUUCUGACUUUGCAUCCCCAGUCAUGCUCCUAGCCUUUGAAGAGUUAUCCUUAGCUACAAGAAAAACUGGUAAAUAAAAAUAUAAAAUGAAACAAAACAAAAACUUCACAUUCUUCUCACCCGUCUGCUUGUGUAUCUGAGCUUAAGUUUUCUCUAUUUUCAUUUAAUUUCACCCUUAGGACACAGGCCAUUUAUUUAGUAAACAUUUGUUUAAUGUCUGUUAUGUACCAGGCUCUGUGCUAGAGAAAACAAAGUCUGCUCUGCAUGUGCUUACAGUCUCUUGGGGCAUUGUGCAUCAGGGGUGCAGGGAGCUUCAUGACUGAGUAAGAGUUUUGAAGUCAGCAGUGAAUCAAGUGCCCACAGAUUUGCAGGCUUAAGCAGAACAAGGGAAGAUUGAUAUUUUUGGAUAUGCUAUAGCAGCUUUCUCCUAUGAAAUAAAACUGAUGAUGUUUGGAAGUAUACUACUCUCAAAGGUGUCUUUAAAGUACAGGUUAAUGGUGA
rnacentral:lncRNA from 1 species